rnacentral:tRNA from 2 species
AGCAGAGUGGCGUAGUGGAAGUGUGCUGGGCCCAUAACCCAGAGGUCGAUGGAUCGAAACCAUCCUCUGCUA